AAAAUAGUUUUAUUUUAUUUUGAAAGAGAACCUUUUUCCGUCCAAAUUAACAUGUUUGUAAUCAUAUGUGCUGUUCUGUUCUCUCUGGCCAUGGAACCAGUUCUGGGACAGACACUGGAGCAAAAAGAUUUCUCCAUGACCAAAGACGAGGGCAAAAGUGUGUAUAUCAGCUGCGAGGUGACCGGGUUGUCAUCUAGCAAUUACGUCCACUGGUACCAAAGGAAAGAAGGAGAAGCUCUCGCAAGGAUCCUGUAUGUCAAAAGUGGAAGCCUGGAACCUGUUCAUGAUGCUAACUUCCAUGAAGCACAGGAAUUUGGUGUGAGGACACAGUCUAAUAAUUAUGACCUAAAAAUAGUAAAACUGAAGAAAAAGCACUCUGCAGUUUAUUACUGUGCCAGCUGGAGAGGCUCCCACAAUGACAGAAAAUAUUCACAGUGUGUGCAAAAACCCCAAUGCAAACCCACGGAUAACUACUCCACGGGUUUCCAGUCAGGCAGGCCCGCGGUCACCCUCACGUGCAGUUUCUAG